rnacentral:rRNA from 1 species
AUCCUGGCUCAGGACGAACGCUGGCGGCGUGCCUAACACAUGCAAGUCGAACGAGAAAGUCCCUUCGGGGGCGAGUACAGUGGCGCACGGGUGAGUAACACGUGGAUAAUCAACCCUCGGGUGGGGGAUAACAGUCCGAAAGGAUUGCUAAUCCCGCAUAAGACCACGGCAGCUGCGGCUGCUGAGGUAAAAGGCGCUUUAUUGUGUCGCCUGAGGACGAGUCCGCGUCCCAUUAGCUUGUUGGCGGGGUAAUGGCCCACCAAGGCGAUGAUGGGUAGCUGGUCUGAGAGGAUGACCAGCCACACUGGGACUGGAACACGGCCCAGACUCCUACGGGAGGCAGCAGUGAGGAAUAUUGCACAAUGGGCGAAAGCCUGAUGCAGCAACGCCGCGUGAGUGAUGAAGGCCCUCGGGUUGUAAAGCUCUGUCGGGUGGGAAGAUGUGGUCCGGCUAACAACCGGAUUGUGACGGUACCAUCAAAGGAAGCACCGGCUAACUCCGUGCCAGCAGCCGCGGUAAUACGGAGGGUGCAAGCGUUGUCCGGAAUUACUGGGCGUAAAGCACGUGCAGGCGGUCUGUUGUGUCGGGUGUGAAAUCCCAAGGCUCAACCUUGGAACUGCGCUCGAAACUGGCAGACUUGAGUUCGGGAGGGGAUGGUGGAAUUCCGGGUGUAGAGGUGAAAUUCGUAGAUAUCCGGAAGAAUACCGGUGGCGAAGGCGACCAUCUGGCCCGAUACUGACGCUCAGACGUGAAAGCGUGGGGAGCAAACAGAAUUAGAUACUCUGGUAGUCCACGCUGUAAACUAUGGACACUAGGUGUUGGGGGUAACAAUUCCCUCAGUGCCGUAGCUAACGCGUUAAGUGUCCCGCCUGGGAAGUACGGCCGCAAGGCUAAAACUCAAAGGAAUUGACGGGGGCCCGCACAAGCGGUGGAGUAUGUGGUUUAAUUCGACGCAACGCGCAGAACCUUACCCAGACUUGACAUGUAGGGAAUUGGGUAGAAAUACCUGAGUGCCUGGUUUACCAGGAGCCCUAACACAGGUGCUGCAUGGCUGUCGUCAGCUCGUGUCGU